GUUUGAGGUUCUAACCUUGGCCCGUGAUCCGGGUCGGGGACAGUGCAUGGUAGGCAGUUUGACUGGGGCGGUCUCCUCCCAAAGCGUAACGGAGGAGUACGAAGGUACGCUAGGUACGGUCGGAAAUCGUGCUGAUAGUGCAAUGGCAUAAGCGUGCUUAACUGCGAGACCGACAAGUCGAGCAGGUGCGAAAGCAGGUCAUAGUGAUCCGGUGGUUCUGUAUGGAAGGGCCAUCGCUCAACGGAUAAAAGGUACUCUGGGGAUAACAGGCUGAUACCGCCCAAGAGUUCAUAUCGACGGCGGUGUUUGGCACCUCGAUGUCGGCUCAUCUCAUCCUGGGGCUGUAGCCGGUCCCAAGGGUAUGGCUGUUCGCCAUUUAAAGAGGUACGUGAGCUGGGUUUAAAACGUCGUGAGACAGUUUGGUCCCUAUCUGCCGUGGGCGUUGGAUAUUUGAAGGGGGCUGCUCCUAGUACGAGAGGACCGGAGUGGACGAACCUCUGGUGUACCGGUUGUCACGCCAGUGGCAUCGCCGGGUAGCUAUGUUCGGAAGAGAUAACCGCUGAAAGCAUCUAAGCGGGAAACUCGCCUUAAGAUGAGAUAUCCCUGGGGACUAGAUCCCCUUGAAGGGUCGUUCGAGACCAGGACGUUGAUAGGUCAGGUGUGUAAGCGCAGUAAUGCGUUCAGCUAACUGAUACUAAUUGCCCGUAAGGCUUGAUCCU
rnacentral:rRNA from 1 species